rnacentral:rRNA from 1 species
UAGUAGCGGCGAGCGAAGCGGGAAAAGCUCAAAUUUGUAAUCUGGCGCCUUCGGCGUCCGAGUUGUAAUCUCGAGAAGUGUUUUCCGUGAUAGACCGCAUACAAGUCUCUUGGAACAGAGCGUCAUAGUGGUGAGAACCCAGUACACGAUGCGGAUGCCUAUUACUUUGUGAUACACUUUCGAAGAGUCGAGUUGUUUGGGAAUGCAGCUCAAAUUGGGUGGUAAAUUCCAUCUAAAGCUAAAUAUUGGCGAGAGACCGAUAGCGAACAAGUACCGUGAGGGAAAGAUGAAAAGCACUUUGGAAAGAGAGUUAACAGUACGUGAAAUUGUUGGAAGGGAAACACAUGCAGUGAUACUUGCUAUUCGGGGCAACUCGAUUGGCAGGCCCGCAUCAGUUUUCCGGGGUGGAAAAGCACAGAGAGAAGGUAGCAGUUUCGGCUGUGUUAUAGCUCUUUGUUGGAUUCACCCUGGGGGAUUGAGGAACGCAGCGUGCUUUUUGCAUGAGCUUCGGCUUAUCCACGCUUAGGAUGCGGGUUUAUGGCUGUAUAUGACCCGUCUUGAAACACGGACCAAGGAGUCUAACAUGCUUGCGAGUAUUUGGGUGUCAAACUCGGAUGCGCAAUGAAAGUGAAUGGAGGUGGGAAGCGCAAGCUGCACCAUCGACCGAUCUGGAUUUUUUAAGAUGGAUUUGAGUAAGAGCAAGUAUGUUGGGACCCGAAAGAUGGUGAACUAUGCCUGAAUAGGGCGAAGCCAGAGGAAACUCUGGUGGAGGCUCGUAGCGGUUCUGACGUGCAAAUCGAUCGUCAAAUUUGGGUAUAGGGGCGAAAGACUAAUCGAACCAUCUAGUAGCUGGGUCCUGCCGAAGUUUCCCUCAGGAUAGCAGAAACUCACAUCAGUUCUAUGAGGUAAAGCGAAUGAUUAGAGGCCUUGGGGUUGAAACAACCUUAACCUAUUCUCAAACUUUAAAUA